AGAGUUUGAUCCUGGCUCAGGACGAACGCUGGCGGCGUGCUUAACACAUGCAAGUCGAACGAGGUGCUUGCACCUAGUGGCGAACGGGUGAGUAACACGUGAGCAACCUGCCCUUGGCUCUGGGAUAGCCUCCGGAAACGGGGAUUAAUACCGGACAUGACUCCUCACUGCAUGGUGGGGGGUGGAAAGUUUUUCGGCCAGGGAGGGGCUCGCGGCCUAUCAGCUUGUUGGAGGGGUAACGGCCCACCAAGGCGACGACGGGUAGCCGGCCUGAGAGGGCGACCGGCCACACUGGGACUGAGACACGGCCCAGACUCCUACGGGAGGCAGCAGUGGGGAAUAUUGCACAAUGGGGGAAACCCUGAUGCAGCGACGCCGCGUGCGGGAUGAAGGCCUUCGGGUUGUAAACCGCUUUCAGCAGGGGCGAAUUUAAGACGGUACCUGCAGAAGAAGCGCCGGCUAACUACGUGCCAGCAGCCGCGGUAAU
rnacentral:rRNA from 1 species